AUAUGUGAGCGUAUAUCUCCUGUUGAUUGCCAGGGUUGAAAUGGCUGAUAUGGCUUGCUUACUGGGUGUCCUCUUCUUCCUCACUACUCCAGGUGCAUCCCUCCUAAAGCUGUGCUUCACUUUCCAUACAUGAUGAGGAUAACCUUUUAUGAAAGUUUUCAGUCCAUGGUAUAUGGGUAGCCAUUAAACCCGCUGGAACCAUGUAAACAUAGGCUUUCUUGUCUGUUAAGAGAAAAAACUAUGAUAUUUACUUGAAGAAUUGUGGUU
rnacentral:snRNA from 1 species